rnacentral:rRNA from 1 species
UCCUACGGGAGGCAGCAGUGAGGAAUAUUGGUCAAUGGUCGGGAGACUGAACCAGCCAAGCCGCGUGAGCGAAGAAGUAUUUCGGUAUGUAAAGCUCUAUCAGCAGGGAAGAAAAUGACGGUACCUGAGUAAGAAGCUCCGGCUAAAUACGUGCCAGCAGCCGCGGUAAUACGUAUGGAGCAAGCGUUAUCCGGAUUUACUGGGCGUAAAGGGAGCGUAGGCGGCCUGCCAAGUCUGAUGUGAAAUACCGGGGCUCAACCCCGGGGCUGCAUUGGAAACUGGCAGGCUGGAGUGCCGGAGAGGCA